rnacentral:rRNA from 1 species
AUGGGGAUACAAAUAGGGCCCAUCGUCUUGCCUCCUUUCAUCAUUUUUAAAGCCCCACUAACCUCAAAUUCCUGGAUUCGUCGCACAAAAUGCUUACUGGUACCAUCAAAGGAGUUGUCCAACUCAAUGGUAGAGCUCUCAUUCUCUCCAUUGAAUAGCUUGUCGAAGUACUCCCGCCGUCUAUGUGAUCUCCUCGUCCUUCACCAGGAGCUGAUCUACUCCGUCCUUCAUGCAUUUGACUUGGUUGACAUCCCUCGUCUUGCUCUCUUGGAUGCUCUCUUGGAUCUUGGCUAUCUUAUAGAUGUCCCUUUGGCCUUCAUUCGUGUCUAA